rnacentral:rRNA from 1 species
GACGAACGCUGGCGGCGUGCUUAACACAUGCAAGUCGAACGGAAAGGCCCUGCUUGCCGGGUACUCGAGUGGCGAACGGGUGAGUAACACGUGGGUGAUCUGCCCUUCACUUCGGGAUAAGCCUGGUAAACUGGGUCUAAUACCGGAUAGGAGCCAUUUUUAGUGUGAUGGUUGGAAAGUUUUUUCGGUGUAGGAUGAGCUCGCGGCCUACCAGUUUGUUGGUGGGGUAAUGGCCUACCAAGGCGGCUACGGGUAGCCGGCCUGAGAGGGUGGACGGCCACAUUGGGACUGAGAUACGGCCCAGACUCCUACGGGAGGCAGCAGUGGGGGAUAUUGCACAAUGGGCGCAAGCCUGAUGCAGCGACGCCGCGUGGGGGAUGACGGCCUUCGGGUUGUAAACUCCUUUCGCUAGGGACGAAGCUUUUUGUGACGGUACCUAGAUAAGAAGCACCGGCUAACUACGUG